UACGGAGGGAGCUAGCGUUGUUCGGAAUUACUGGGCGUAAAGCGCACGUAGGCGGCUAUUCAAGUCGGGGGUGAAAGCCCGGGGCUCAACCCCGGAACUGCCCUCGAAACUAGAUAGCUAGAAUCUUGGAGAGGCGAGUGGAAUUCCGAGUGUAGAGGUGAAAUUCGUAGAUAUUCGCAAGAACACCAGUGGCGAAGGCGGCUCACUGGCCCGAUACUGACGCUGAGGUGCGAAAGCGUGGGGAGCAAACAGGG
rnacentral:rRNA from 1 species